UGGCGGACGGGUGAGUAAUGUCUGGGAAACUGCCCGAUGGAGGGGGAUAACUACUGGAAACGGUAGCUAAUACCGCAUAACGUCGCAAGACCAAAGAGGGGGACCUUCGGGCCUCUUGCCAUCGGAUGUGCCCAGAUGGGAUUAGCUAGUAGGUGGGGUAACGGCUCACCUAGGCGACGAUCCCUAGCUGGUCUGAGAGGAUGACCAGCCACAUGGAACUGAGACACGGUCCAG
rnacentral:rRNA from 1 species